GGUGAACGCUGGCGGCGUGCUUAACACAUGCAAGUCGAACGAAGCACUUUAUUUGAUUUCCUUCGGGACUGAUUAUUUUGUGACUGAGUGGCGGACGGGUGAGUAACGCGUGGGUAACCUGCCUUGUACAGGGGGAUAACAGUUGGAAACGGCUGCUAAUACCGCAUAAGCGCACAGCAUUGCAUGAUGCAGUGUGAAAAACUCCGGUGGUAUAAGAUGGACCCGCGUUGGAUUAGCUAGUUGGUGAGGUAACGGCCCACCAAGGCGACGAUCCAUAGCCGACCUGAGAGGGUGACCGGCCACAUUGGGACUGAGACACGGCCCAAACUCCUACGGGAGGCAGCAGUGGGGAAUAUUGCACAAUGGGCGAAAGCCUGAUGCAGCGACGCCGCGUGAGCGAAGAAGUAUUUCGGUAUGUAAAGCUCUAUCAGCAGGGAAGAUAAUGACGGUACCUGACUAAGAAGCACCGGCUAAAUACGUG
rnacentral:rRNA from 1 species